rnacentral:rRNA from 1 species
CACGUAGGGCGCAAGCGUUGUCCGGAAUUAUUGGGUACGGUAAAGAGCUCGUAGGCGGUCUGGUUAACGUCUGCGUGUCGAAAACCCGGGGCGUUAACCCUGGGCCUGCAGUGGAUACAGGCAGACUAGAGGCAGGUAGGGGAGAAUGGAAUUCCCGGUGUAGCGGUGAAAUGCGCAGAUAUCGGGAGGAACACCGGUGGCG